UACGGAGGGUGCGAGCGUUGUCCGGAUUUAUUGGGUUUAAAGGGUGCGUAGGUGGGUUAAUAAGUCAGUGGUGAAAUACAGCCGCUCAACGGUUGAGGUGCCAUUGAUACUGUUAAUCUUGAAACAAGUGGAGGCUGCCGGAAUGGAUGGUGUAGCGGUGAAAUGCAUAGAUAUCAUCCAGAACACCGAUUGCGAAGGCAGGUGGCUACGUUUGAUUUGACACUGAGGCACGAAAGCAUGGGGAGCAAACAGG
rnacentral:rRNA from 1 species